UGUGUAAAUUUAUACUUCUCAUUAAUGGCUAAACCACAAACCAUUCACCGUUACAACGGCCAUGUCACUGGUUUUUAGUUAUUGAACUUUUCUGAAGCUUUACACUCUACUGCUUAUUAAUGUGGGACAAAGUUAAUUGAAAUAUAAGCUUUUUACUACACGUAUUGCGUGUGCCGUCCUUGUGGAUAUAUUAUUGAAUGAAAAUCAGUGUUCCAUUUUAAAUUAAAUUAAGUGAAGAACAUCAAAGAAAUCCUAAAUUUCAUAUUGCGUUUUAGUUCAUAUAAUGUUAUAAACGGACCUAGAGAUAAAAAGAAUUUACAACCUUCCAUUCUUAAAAAAGUUUCAUUGACAAUCCCUGGAAUAUUUGAUUGACGUAUGUUCUGGUAGAUUUAAUUUUAGCCACGCCCCAUUUAGAGUUUAGUAACGUAUGCGGGCUCGAUUAUCUAUGAGUUUUGUCGACAAAAAGAGGCGCCUAGCUUAAUGUUGAAAAUGGAGCUUAAAGAUUGGAAUAAUAAAAUGCUUUUAUUCAUAUAUUGUGCAGAAAAAUUAUCAUUUUUUGUGCAUUUAUGUUCAAAAAUUUUGGGAAGUAAUAAAGUGUAAUAAUUGUGACCUAACAUAAUGUAAAGAUUGGAUUUUAAACCUUGCAUUGAUAAAAACAUGUGGAUACGACACAUUCACGUAUUAUUAUUAUUUUUAUUGCCGCAUGUGUAUUGUUCACCUAUUGUUUUUAACCACGAGAGUAGUAUCGCCACAGCCAAGAAAAAGCAUAUGAAUUCUACUCGGGAUAACACGUCAACACAAGAUUCUGGUGAAAUGAUGUGUGCCUCUCAGUAUCGAAAGAGGUCGAUCUAUUCAAAUGGUGACUGUUCUUCUGCUAAGCCAACCGAACCAAUCAUUGAACCUGUGUGCGUUGGACGAUGCGUUCCGAAAGGGUCCCAACCAAUAGAAUUAUUUACUGGACAACAUUAUAGGUGUAAACCUGAUAAAAAAGUCACAAAAACCGUCAAGUUAUUGUGUUCAGGUACCUCAAACCUGAAAUCAAUAAAAGUGAGAGUUGUGGAAUCAUGUAAGUGUGUCUUGACUAAGAAAAAAAGACGUAAACAUAAGAAAGGAGAAAAUCGUCGACGAAAGAACAAAACUGAUAAUAAAAAUAAAAAAAGAAAAGAAAGACGAAAAUUACGGGGUAGAAACAGACGAAAACAAAGAAAAAACAAAAAAUCUAGUAAAUUAACUAAUAACGAUCGGUGAGAAUCCUGUUAUGUUAAUUAGGAGAUUGUUUCUUUUAAUUUUGUACGUGUGAGAGAAGCACAUUUGCAUUUUUGCAAGGAAUAAACAAAACGGAAUCACGCCCAGUAAGUCAGCAACGCCAAAGUGUCAAUACUGUGUGAUGCAGUUGGCAAGGAAAGGGUGUGUUUCGGCUGUAUUCCAAAGGAAGCCAGUAAUGAUACAGGGAUUUCCUGCCUCGUGGCAAAAUUAAUCUGUGAUCAAAUGUAAAGCUUAAAACAGUUUUUUUUUUGUUAUUUUAUUGUUUUGUUUGCAGAAUGUAAGUGUUAUCGUAUGAAUGUUGAAUUGUUUCAUGAUGUCAUUACUUUUAAGUUUCAUGUCAAUGCCUUUUGAUCAAGUAGGUCUCGUACAAUAUACAACAUUAAGUUUUUUGAGGUGAAAAAAUGCAAUCAAUAAAACUAAAUGUUUUUUUUCACAAUAUCCUUCCUGUCAUUUCAAAUAUUUCGGAAUUUAUUCUUUUCAACUCGUGUAUCUAUACAUAAUUUAAUGGUCUUUUUUUCUCCGCAAAUCACGAAAAAGUCUUUAGAUGCAAUGUACCAUUCGCUUCAUGAAAUCAAUUUAAGUGGGGUUCUCAAAUCUUGCACAUUGAAUCAUAAAUAUGAGAUCAAAGUAACAUACUUUCCAUUGAUAAAUAUUUUUAAGUUACUUGUACUAAAAUAAUUGUGAAUAUUUGCUAUGUUCUACCAAAGGUUCUUCCUAAUUUAUUAUGCUUGACCACACUUUAUUGUUUUCUAUAAUGCCAGACCACAUAUAACUCUUCGAAAAAGAUUUUAAAAUAUAAUUUUGUGAAAUGUAACUUGUUACCCUUUUGGUGUUCAACAUCGUUGUGGGGGAGUCAAAUUUUUAAAGGAUUUUUAAAAAAAGCCGGAUCUCUGCAAAAGCAUUUAUUUAAAAAUAUAAAUGUCAUUACUGUUGGGAAAUUGACAAAAACGAACGUAGAAAAUGAAAAUUUCCAUCCUAAACCUUAAAUAAACGUAUCUUUUUCUAAGGACAAAAACUCCUGCGUACAUUUUAAAAAUGUUUAGAAGAUUUUGAUGAUUUAUAUUUUAUACGAGAAUAUCCAUUGUAUUAUCAUUACUUGUACAAUAUAGUUCCUUAAAGGAGUAAAUAUG